CAGUUCUCUCUCUCUCUCUCUCUACGUGUCCUCUACCUCUGCAACACUGGCACUUUCCAGCGGUAAAGCAGUGACAAUAUGGGGGUGGCUCACGGUGGAUCCGGCGGGAUCGGCGGUGGUGGCAGGUCAGAAUCCAUUUCUACAGUUCUAUUAAACGAAGCUAUGGCAGGAGUAGCACGAGUCAAAUCAGAGCAAGUGAUGAUGUCUGAUGAGGACACCGGUCGUUCGAGCUCUGGUGGGUACUGCGAUGUUGAAGGUGAACCAGACGACGGCGUUUACAGUGAGGAUUCGGCAAAGAAGAGCUCUCCAUGGACGGAUGGGGAGUUUACUGAACCAGUUCCACCUGUUCAUGUCAAGCUUGAGGAGCCGGGUGGACUGGUGGAUUAUGUCGAUGGCGGUGCUGGAGUUAAUGGGUCGUCUUAUUCAUCGCCAAUCCUCUUGCCGAAACCGAUGGAAGGGUUGCACGAGUUGGGCCCGCCGCCGUUCCUCAAGAAGACAUUCGAGAUGGUUGAGGACCCGGUGACCGACCCGAUUGUGUCCUGGAGCGAAGCUCGUGAUAGCUUCAUCGUUUGGGAUUCCCAUGAAUUUUCCAAAAUUCUUCUCCCUAAGUACUUCAAACACAGCAAUUUCUCGAGCUUCAUUCGGCAGCUUAACACAUACGGAUUUCGGAAAAUUGAUUCAGAUCGUUGGGAGUUUGCGAACGAAGGAUUUCAGGGUGGAAAGAAGCAUUUACUGAAGAACAUUAGGAGGAGAAGCAAGUAUAACAAACUGCAACAAGGAGGAGCGUUGACUUCCAUGAAACCUGGCCUGGAGGCUGAAGUUGAGAGACUGAAGAAGGAUCAGAGCAUACUGAAAGUGGAAAUUCUAAAGCUGAGACAGCAACAAGAGACUUCACAGGUUCAGCUUGUAAAUGUUCAAGAGCGUGUUCGGUCGGCCGAGUUGAAGCAGUGCCAGAUGAUGUAUUUCCUGACCAAAAUGGCCAGAAGACCAACGUUCAUUCAGCAUUUAAUCCAGAAGAUAAAGCGAAAAAGAGAGCUCGGUGGGGGCGAGAUCGGUAAGAGACCCAGAUUGCUUGGAAACCAUUGUCCUGUGAACUUUCCCAAGGCCAUGGACACUAGUCCUGAUGUUGAUUAUAGACAAGGUAAUAAGGACUUAGCUUCAUUGCAGUCAGAGCUCAAUGGACUCUUGUCUGAAACAGUGAACAAUAGCAGAACGCAGCCUGCAGCCCCUUCUGCUCUGAAAGAUGAACUACGCAGUCCGGGAUUAAGGACCAAUGCUUCAAGAGCAAGUGCUAACGAUGCAUCUUCUGCAGCCUGCUGUAUGAUGUCAGAGAAACUGAUGGAAGAGAACUCUGUUGUUGAGGAAGGGCUUGAUGUGAAUGAUUCAAAUAUCUAUCUUGAAUUGGAGGAUUUGAUUAGCAAACAAACUGACUGGGUUGGAUCUGCAAGUGGAUUAGUGGGGCAAACUGGUUGUAUCUGAUUGAUUCCUUGAGAAGAGCUUAAAUCUAGAUAUUCAAUAGAAGAAUGGAGGAACAUAAAUUGAACUACCACUUGAACAGAAGGUUGCAAGAGUGAGCCCACACUUGAAAAAGAUGCUGCAGCUGCAACAGCAAUGAUGAUGAGCAAAUUAUAUUUAGGCUCUUCAACAUAUGCUAACUUGAGAAGUGAGAAGGCAGAUUGCUCUACCAGUUUACGUGAUAUAGAAACUCAGAAAGAAAUCAAGUGUUUCUUCUCUUGGCUGGAGCUAAAUUAGAAUAUUAUGUUCCUCACACAUCUUUGACAUGUUAUUUUUCAUAGUCCUUUACUGCGAUGAUAAGUUUUCCCCUUUGUACAAAGCCUGGUAUCAGCCACUUCUCAAAGCUGAACCUCUUGUGACCACUCAACUGUUUGUAAUAUCACUACGUCACUAUCACCUUGGUUGGUGCAUGUUCAUACUUCCUGUUUUAUGGCUUGUGUACUGUUCCUGCUUGCUUGCUUUGUUUUAGUUCUUUAAAAAUUAGGUAUA